UGGGGAAUAUUGGACAAUGGGCGCAAGCCUGAUCCAGCCAUGCCGCGUGAGUGAUGAAGGCCCUAGGGUUGUAAAGCUCUUUCACCGGUGAAGAUAAUGACGGUAACCGGAGAAGAAGCCCCGGCUAACUUCGUGCCAGCAGCCGCGGUAAUACGAAGGGGGCUAGCGUUGUUCGGAUUUACUGGGCGUAAAGCGCACGUAGGCGGACUUUUAAGUCAGGGGUGAAAUCCCGGGGCUCAACCCCGGAACUGCCUUUGAUACUGGAAGUCUUGAGUAUGGUAGAGGUGAGUGGAAUUCCGAGUGUAGAGGUGAAAUUCGUAGAUAUUCGGAGAAACACCAGUGGCGAAGGCGGCUCACUGGUCCAAUACAGACGCUGGGGUGCGAAAGCGUGGGGAACAAACAGG
rnacentral:rRNA from 1 species